GUGUGGCCCAGACAGGGCACUGUCUGUGGCCCCAGGGGUUGAGGACCCCUGGCUUUAACAACAGAAAGGUACCAUCUUACAGUUCUGGAGGCCAAAGUCUGAUAUCCAGGGAGGGAAUUGGGAUCUGAAGACGUUGCAUUCGAGGUCUCGGGGCUCCUGAUGAGCAGCCUCGGCCUGACCUGGGGCAGGUGUGAUGUCUGCGGCUCACCAUCUCCACCCUGCCUGCUGUGGAAUCUCCACAACGACAGGUGCUUUGGAGGCCAGAGUGCAUGCGUACGGGCCCUGCACACGCUGAAUGUCACUGGGAACAAGGACACACCCCGCUUCCAGGAGAAGAUAGAACAUGUCGACCCCUUUUACCAUAUGACACAUUAUCAGACCAAACCAGAGCUCUUGGUUUUCGGAUCUGGGGAUGAAUUCUUUAGCACAGAUGGAACCAUGAACUUCUAUGAUCAACUGCCAGGAAGGAAAUACCUCAGAGCCAUCCCCAGUGCAGGACAUGCUAUUGACUUCCAUGAGACAAACACCUACUUGGAAAUCAGGUUUUUUCUGUACCUUUUGAAGGAGCAGGAAUUUCCCAGCAUUUCCUGGACAAAGACGGAGGCCACAUUCGCUGCAUCCUUUCCAGCAAGAUGUCAUUCUGAGAUUUUUGUCAUUCCUGGGCGUUAUGAGGACUGCCAAGGGACACAAUUCCAUGGGAGGAAAGUUUUCUUCUAAGCUGCAAGCCAGCUCUGGCUUCUGGAGUUUCUCCUUAGGAUUGCAAGACAGUAGUUCCCUGUCCUUUAGGUCUUCUCCAGAAAUACCUUAAAAUAGCAAAUAAAAUAAGAUAUAAGCAAACAAA
rnacentral:lncRNA from 1 species